CCGGUUCUUGAUUUUCCAUCUAUGUGGGAGUUCUAUCCACCUGAAGCUUUUCAAUCUCAGCUAUGCGAUUAUACAACCAAGCCAGACGGUUUUCUUGAUUUCCAUAUUGAGCAUUAUUCCAUUGUCUCGGGCCCUUUGCAAUACAACUGAGCUUUUUCAAAAGUCUGAAUCUCUUGGAAGUUCAAUAAAAGCUGUCUGCCAUGAUGAUUGAAGAGUUUCCUGAAACUGAGGAUUAUAUAACCAGCAUUCAAUAAAUCGAAAAGGUUUCCAUCCUUUAUCUUGCUCAUGGUUUCCUACAAUCAAUUGCCCGUGAAUGGAAUCUCUGAAAUGUGAGUGACAUUCAGGCGAAGAAAAUGCUCGAUCGAUACGGCUCAUAGAGCCUCCUCUAAAACAUGUGAAGCUAUGCCCCGUUAAGGCAUGUUCAAUCAAGUUACAAGAAUCUAAAAAUCUUUUCAAGUCAUUAGAACCUGCAGCAUUGAUGAAUCUACUGUUUCCCUCACCCUUGGCCAAAGUCUCAUUAAAG
rnacentral:lncRNA from 1 species